UAAAUCUUCACGGGCCAUUUUUUUUUGUAUAUGCAAUCAGCCUCCCACUCGAAGCCAUUUUUGCCUCCCAUCUCUAGCUGCAGAAUAACACUUUUUCCUCCUCUUCGGCUAUGCCUUCCCUACCUAUACGUUGUAUUGUAUUGUUUUGGUUUUGGUUUAGUAUUUUUAAAUUCCCCCAAUAAAAUGAAGAUUCAUCUCUUAAAUUAUAAGACUGCAUUUGAUUUAUUUGGAGUCACAAGCAAAUUUGAGAUUUAAGGCUUAGUUGGGUAGUAUGGAGCAUCUUUUCUUCAUCAUUUUUGGUUUAUUGAAGAUGACCAGGAGGCUCCUAGCUUUCUCUUUGAAUCUGCAGAGCCAAAUUUUCAGUCCUCGAAUGUGGGUCGCUAUAGUGUUGUAGGAGCACAACCAACAGUGGAAGUUGUGGCAAAAGAUCUCAGAGGGUUGGAAACCUUAUCUCACUGAUGAACUUCCAGAUGCAUUCUGUGGUAAGAGUAGUAUGAUCAUAACACCCAUCGUGUGUCAAGAUUGAAUAUUGGCAAAUUACGGUUCAAUUAUGAAAUUUUCAGACAAAAUAAUUUGUUUAUGAAAUAAUGAGGCUGAAUUGUUUUUUGUUUAAUUCUGUUGUUUAUAUGUGAAUCAUGAACUCUGACCUAUGAUGCAUGAUGUCUGCAAUGCAAACAACUUAUUUUGCAAUAACAGAAAAUCCUAACGGUUAGAAUGUGUUUAGUAAGCAUGCCUCAAGUACUUCACCUCAUAUUGAUCCUUUUAAAACAGUGAGGUUAAUGAGGUUAAUGGCGGAUGGUGGAUUAUGACGGAAAGCCAUAAACAGGUCACAUUUGACAAAUAGUGGUGGCGUUGACGGGUUUUGGCAGCAUUUGGCGGAAUAUUGGCCAAGGUAGCUUGCUAGAAUUCCUCCAUGAGAUUCAACCUUGGCGGAUAUUUGACAGCACUCUUUUAAAACCACUAACUUCUUUUAAGCUUCAGUAAGCACAACUAUAAAACAACCUACAGAUGAAAGCAGUCAGUAUAUCAAACAAGAAAUUAUAUGAUAUGUAUUAAUUGAGAUAAUCAUACCAGGUGUUAAUACAUGACUAAGAUGUCUAGAUUUAACAUCAUUCAAAAUAACCCUGAGUGAAGAGCAUGCUUGGGCAUUAGUUCACAACCACGUAGAGCUGAAAUAAAUUCUUGUAGUUGCUUCUUUGCUGCAUCCUCAUACAGAACCACUUUAUUAGCAUUCCUUCCAAUAGCAUCACUGCAUUCAUGAAAAUAAAUGAGCAUAAAUACUUUCGAAGAAGAUGAUCUGUAAUCACUUGUAGUUGCUGCAUAAAUAUCUUUUACCUAGCAGAGAAGAUCCUUGCAAGCAACCGCUCCAUGUCAGGUAGCUUUGAUAAUGCUUUUCGAAAUUCUAACGCAGAAGGUAGAUUAACUCCCUGAAAGCAUAUAUCAAGAAAAUGAAUAUAAUUUACUGAUUUGUAUAUCUGAUCAUUCUUAAAAAUUAAAUGAAACAUUAUAUCAGCAGUUGAAAACGUUGGUGCAUUUUUCUUUGCCUAUUACUGUGAUGAUUUGUUUAGGUGCCCCGCUUUCAUCCUUUUACUUCAAUCCGGUGUUAUCUUUUCUUGCACAAAAUUCUGAACUGAAUCUUUGAGAGUUUCUGUAAUCUGAGUAAUUGUAAAUCUUGAAAUGAACUCUAGAUAGAGUUCUCAUAUCUAUAUAGUCUGUUGAGAAACUAAACUCCAGUGUAGUUUUGAGUCUGUUGUAACGGAUUCUAACAACAGAAUUAACUGUCUGAAUUUUUAUAAUUCAUGUGCGCUCUAAGUAUGAUCAUUGACCAAUUUAUUAUAUUGUAUUUCAGUCAGUUGAAUUAUACAUGAGUUGAAAACCAUAAAAACAUUUGGGGUUAAAGUUAUUUUUGUUGGGGAAAAAGUUUGUUCUUUUUUGGUGUUGGAGUGUAUAAAAAACUUCAUAAGUUUAUGUUCUUGUAACAUAUGAUGCAUUGCAGAUAAAGUUUUAGUUAAUUUGUCUCACGUAAUUUCUAUUAAAAAAUUAUUGAGAAAUCCUUUUACUUCUGAAGUGAUAAAUUUGUAUAAAUUUAUGAAGCAACUUCCUGCUAUGCUUUGUGAAAAAAACCUUGACAUGAGACACGUAACAGAGACAUUAUAUGAUAAUCAAUCAUGUUGGAGCCAUCCGUGCUGAGCAUGAUGAUUUCACAAUUCGUUUUGCUUCAGCGAUGAAUCAGCUGUUAUUGUUGAAGUCCACCGAUGGUUCUGAUGUUGAUUGGAGCAAAGAUGUCAAGGGUGACAGAUGGUGAGGGAGAACAUGCUGCCCAUGUUGCUGGAUAUGGAGAAAGUAUCAAUGAUAGUGCUCCUAAAAACUGUGAAAAGAAAACUGAAAGUGUAUGGGAGUGAGCUUUAUGAAGAUGCAGAUAGCAAGUCACGAAAGGUUGAAACACACGUGGUGGAGAAGCUAGAAAUCAGUCGUCAUGACUCGGCCAAUGCUGAUGAUGGAAUGUUAGGUUAAGUUAAUCGCUUGAAGGCAAUUAAGAUAACUGAUGGGGGGGUCCAACUGCGAGGGUCAUUUUUUACCAAUUGCUGGGUUCAAGGCCCAGGAAAAUCUUGAACCUAAGUUUAAACCUGCUCGCUUUUAGAGGUUCAUUACUUGAUGGUGGAUAUGGCUUAGCUGGGUAUUAUGUGUUAGCAUUAUGUAGGUCCCUUUUUUUGUAUAUCUAUGGGCCAUUGAACUAAGUAUUGUAUUUAAUUAAGUAUGAUGUUGGAUGUCCUAUAUUACAAGUACAUGUAGUGUGGUGAACUUGGUCUUUGUAACCUUUUGAUAAUUGUGACCUGUAGAACUGUAGUUUAAGUAACCCUAUUAUCAAUAUAAGUUGUUGUGUUUGUA